UUUGCCGCUUCUAGUGGGGGCCUGGAAGGGGGUUACCCGUUUCGGGACCGCUUCCACCAGGAAGUCGUGCUGGGCAGCCUUGGAGACGCAAAGGGUUGGGGGUGGGGUAGAUGCGAGGACAACUCAACGUUGUGGGGUUGUGUGAUCAGAGCCUGGAUUUUCUUAGACUCUAAAAACUGGGUCGUUGGUUUCUUGCUAUGCCGCUCAGACUGGCCUCAAACUCGCAAUCCUUCAGCCUCAGCCUCAGCCUCCGCUACACCGUGUCGCCUACUCACAACUCCAGUUGGGAAAUGCGAAGGAUCAGGCAAGGAUCCGGAAGUGUGUAUCCCGUUUUUCUUUGAUUCCCCUUGAAGACUGCCAGAAAUGCAAGAUCCUUAUGUCAUACUAACCAGAAAAAUUAGAGACUAGAGUAGUUCACAAGAAGACCUUUCAGAGAAAGCAUCACUGAUGAACAACUAUUAUUUUAUGUCUUCGGCUCACUCCUAUGUUUGAGGCACAUCUGAAAUGCUGGAAAGGCGUGUGACAGAGCCAGACGGUGCAUGGUUCUUCCAUCUUAUAUUCUUGCUAUGUCCAUUUUAGCUUUAACUAGAAUUUGAACUCCUUGAUGGAGAAUCCUGUGCAAAGUUACACUAUUCUAGAAACCCAAGGUCAAGAUGCCCCAACUAACUUAUCUUAGGUUGUGUUAAACUGCAUGCUUAUGCAAAACCUCCCCCUGAAGUUGCCACGUGAAAUACCAGGAUGUUGUUUUGCCUUUAAAAACUCCUUACCCUAAACACUGAGGGCUGCACUAGGGUCCCAAAUACCUGAGUGCAAUCCCAGCCAGCUGGAAUAAAGACUCUCAGUUGCCUAUA